UAAUACGUAGGGUGCAAGCGUUGUCCGGAUUUAUUGGGCGUAAAGAGCUCGUAGGCGGUUUGUCGCGUCGGAUGUGAAAACCCAGGGCUCAACCCUGGGCCUGCAUUCGAUACGGGCAGACUAGAGUAUGGCAGGGGAGACUGGAAUUCCUGGUGUAGCGGUGAAAUGCGCAGAUAUCAGGAGGAACACCGGUGGCGAAGGCGGGUCUCUGGGCCAAAACUGACGCUGAGGAGCGAAAGCGUGGGGAGCGAACAGGAUUAGAUACCCUGGUAGUCCACGCCGUAAACGUUGGGCGCUAGGUGUAGGGGACCUUCCACGUCCUCUGUGCCGCAGCUAACGCAUUAAGCGCCCCGCCUGGGGAGUACGGCCGCAAGGCUA
rnacentral:rRNA from 1 species